GAUGAACGCUGGCUACAGGCUUAACACAUGCAAGUCGAGGGGAAACGCCGGGGAAGCUUGCUUCCCCGGGCGUCGACCGGCGCACGGGUGAGUAACGCGUAUCCAACCUGCCUCUGACUGAGGGAUAACCCGUCGAAAGUCGGCCUAAUACCUCAUGGUAUCGUCUGCGGGCAUCCAACGACGAUUAAAGAUUUCAUCGGUCAGGGAUGGGGAUGCGUCUGAUUAGCUUGUUGGCGGGGUAACGGCCCACCAAGGCUACGAUCAGUAGGGGUUCUGAGAGGAAGGUCCCCCACAUUGGAACUGAGACACGGUCCAAUCUCCUACGGGAGGCAGCAGUGAGGAAUAUUGGUCAAUGGGCGAGAGCCUGAACCAGCCAAGUAGCGUGCAGGAAGACGGCCCUAUGGGUUGUAAACUGCUUUUAUGCGGGGAUAAAGUGAGGGACGUGUCCCUCAUUGCAGGGACCGCAUGAAUAAGGACCGGCUAAUUCCG
rnacentral:rRNA from 1 species